CGUCUCGCCUGAGCGAAUCGGUCUCCGGAGCCGUGUGCGCAGGUUCGAAUCCUGCCGAGGGCGCCCA
rnacentral:tRNA from 1 species